UCCGGCCACAUCACGUUGAAACAUUGGUCCCCAUACGAUCACCGAAGUUAAGCAACGUCGAGCCUGGUCAGUACCCAGAAGGGUAACUGAUUAGGAAUACCAAGUGCUGUAAG